GACGAACGCUGGCGGCGUGCUUAAAACAUGCAAGUCGAACGGACUUCUCAUGAAGCUUGCGAUUGAGAAGUUAGUGGCGGACGGGUGAGUAACGCGUAGGCAACCUGCCCCUGAGCCCGGGAUAACAGUUCGAAAGGACUGCUAAGACCGGAUAUACUUGCGGUGAAGCAUUUCACUGCAAGGAAAGGGAACGCUCAGGGAUGGGCCCGCGUCCCAUUAGCUAGUUGGUGAGGUAACGGCCCACCAAGGCGACGAUGGGUAGCCGGCCUGAGAGGGUGAACGGCCACACUGGGACUGAGACACGGCCCAGACUCCUACGGGAGGCAGCAGUUGGGAAUCUUCGGCAAUGGGCGCAAGCCUGACCGAGCAACGCCGCGUGAGUGAUGAAGGUUUUCGGAUUGUAAAGCUCUGUCUUCCGGGACGAUAAUGACGGUACCGGAGGAGGAAGCCACGGCUAACUACGUG
rnacentral:rRNA from 1 species